rnacentral:rRNA from 1 species
AUUGAACGCUGGCGGCAUGCCUUACACAUGCAAGUCGAACGGUAACAGGUCUUCGGAUGCUGACGAGUGGCGAACGGGUGAGUAAUACAUCGGAACGUGCCCGAUCGUGGGGGAUAACGAAGCGAAAGCUUUGCUAAUACCGCAUAAGAUCUACGGAUGAAAGCAGGGGACCGCAAGGCCUUGCGCGAACGGAGCGGCCGAUGGCAGAGUAGGUAGUUGGUGGGAUAAAAGCUUACCAAGCCGACGAUCUGUAGCUGGUCUGGGAGGACGACCAGCCACACUGGGACUGAGACACGGCCCAGACUCCUACGGGGGGCAGCAGUGGGGAAUUUUGGACAAUGGGCGAAAGCCUGAUCCAGCCAUGCCGCGUGCAGGAUGAAGGCCUUCGGGUUGUAAACUGCUUUUGUACGGAACGAAAAGACUCUUUCUAAUAAAGAGGGUCCAUGACGGUACCGUAAGAAUAAGCACCGGCUAACUACGUGCCAGCCGCCGCCGUAAUAC